rnacentral:misc_RNA from 1 species
AACGCACCUUGCACCCUUUGGUAUUCCGAGGGGUACGCCCGUUUGAGUGUCAUUGUAAUCUCACUCUCUCAACCUUUGUUGGUUGGGGAGGUGGACUUGGACUCUGCUGUGGCUUCACAGCUGGUCUGAAAUGCAUGAGUGUACCCUGCCGUUGCAGCGUCUUCAGUGUGAUAAGUAUCUUCACUGGAUCAAGUUCCUUCGGGACACGCACGCGUGGCAGGCCCUGCGCUUCCAACCGUCCGCCUUGGUGGACAAACUGCUUGACAACUUGACCUCAAAUCGGGUGGGACUACCCGCUGAACUUAA